GGUCGCGUGGCCCAAUGGCAAGGCGUCUGACUACGAUUCUUGAGCUUUCGAAGCAUCGGUAUAUCAGGAGAUUGCGGGUUCGAUCCCCGUCGUGACCU
rnacentral:tRNA from 1 species